UAAUAAGGAAACCAAAUUAUUAUGGAAAUCCUGAAAUUGUUUAUUAUGGAAAUCGUUUUAAAUAAACUGUUCAUCUGUGUUAUUUAUCUGUGGUGUCAUAAGGUAAAGUUCUGCCCGAUGCUUGAAACUUGGAUGUUUGAUAAUUUAUUUUCCUCUUAGUAGCACAAGGUUUCUGAAAAUAUCAUGAUGUACGAAUACGUGGAUCUCUUGAAAAUUGAAGGGCUAUAGGAUGAACCAGUUGACGAUGUUAUGGCAAGUUUUUGAAUCAAUGAUUUUUGUUUAAUUUUUGGUUAUUGAUUGUGAUUGUGAUAUUGGGUUGGAAGGAGAAGAAGAUUAUAUAACAUACUUUGGCUUACAGGUCACUUAGUACCUUUUUUCAGCAAUUUUGCAAAACUUUAAAUGUAAGAAAUCACGAACAAUUAUUCGACGGUAUAAGUGAUUUUUGAUUGUUAUGCAAAGACCGUCAUUCUGCGAGUAGGUUGUGAUCUUGAUGCUAAGCAUGAUGCGAAAUAUCAAGACGAAGAUAGAAGGCUUAGGUUUCACUUUCAAUCAUAUGUGUCAUUCAAUGUGGCCAGCAGGGUCAGUCGUUCUAACAGCACAAUCACGACAUUAUGGAGAAAAAACGAGCCUUAGAUUAAAGAUACUGGACUCUCUUUGGGUGUCGAAGAUGACGAUUCCAAUAUGUCAAAAUUUUUACUCUAUGGAACUUUUCAAGCUUUUGUUUAGGAGACUUCCCAAGGGACUUCCGAUUUUGGAAAAGAGAAAAUGGUCAUCAGAGGGAAAGCAUUCAAAAUUGCUGUUGAGGUGUUUAAAACACAGAGAUCAUCAGAGCAAUGACCUUAUUGAUCUUGAGAUGAGGAGCGAAAGCUUUGAAACCAAGUCUAGACAGCAAGUUACUAUUCUGGCAGAAUCUCAAUCCUUAUUAUUUAGUCCUAAAACUCAUUACAAAUAUUUUUGGCACUAAAAUCUCUAAACAUACCUCUCACAAAACACUCAUACAUGAUACACCAUUGGUGUACUCCAUUCUCUAACACCACCACUCACCUCAGACAACUCACUGUAAGGUAAGAUUAUCUCUCUCUUACUAUCUACUUAAUCUUGGUACGUAUGGAGAGCUUUGCUCACAAGUUUUACGAAUACAUGACAACCGUACUUGACUGAGGUUUCUAAAGAUCAGUUACUGUAGGAGUACUUGACGACUUUAGAUGUUUAUUGUUUAGUACUUGAAGCUUAUCAAUCGUUCUCUAGAUUACAUGCUAAGUUGCUAACUAUCACACUGUUGUACUCUAUAUAUAUAAUUCUAAAGAUCCACUAAGCCAACUUAGAUUAUGCUUCUUGGACUUUGUUGGGAUUUCUUGUGAAGCCGGUGUUGGACCUCAACUUUUAAAUUGAGAGCACUCAUGGGAAAAUACAGCCAGGAGUCCAAGUGUUUAUGGCUUUGCCGACCAAAUAAUAAUAGUUACGUCCGUUUUCUGCUGACUCCUC